UAUGGUUCAAUUUUAAAGUAAAAUCUUCAGUAGUUUGUAUUAUGUAAUCUUGAUGAUCACAGGGAAUGUGUAGGGAGGCCUUUGCCAUAGCAGGUCAUCAAGCCUUAAUAAAUUUACUUCUAAAGAAAAAACAACUCUGUUUUUGGCUUCUCUCAAAUCCUUUGGUAUGUUUCUUGAUGAAUGAGAUGCUUAUGUUGUAACUUUUGGCAUUUUUAGGCUUCUAUAGCGUAGUUUAAUGUGAGAUUUGAUCUUUAUUGUAAUUUGAGUAGACAUGAUUAUUGAUCUUCAACUGUUUCUAGGUACAUGUCUAGCACUAAUUAUUUUUCAGUUCUUAGCAAAUUGAUAAAGAUAAGCUCUAUGUUUGCUGCACGUAUUUGGGAUGCUGGGAUUGGAUAUGAAGAUUGAAUUUCCAUUUAUGCUACAUAACAUCACUCUCUUAGAUUGAUUUUGUUACACAGUUAUCUAUGCAAUAUUCAAUCAAAUGAAAAUUCAUUACAGGUGGCUCGGUUCAAUUCAAUCUAUCCAUGUGGUUUGGCAUCAUACAUCAAAAUUGCUAGAGAACUAUUAGCAGAUUCAAAAGGAAUCCAUGAAUUCAUUUGAUGGCUUUACACCUUCAGUAAGUCACUCAGGGCAGAAUAUCAGUAUGAAAAAGAUUAUCUGAAUUUGUGUGUGUUUGUUAGCAUUGAAUCAACCUGAUAUAUCCAAUCCCAUCAUUCCAUUUCAUGUUUAAAAGAGAUUAUAUGUAAUUGUUCAUCUACUUUUCAUGCCACCAACAAUAUGAUUUACAUUCAUUUCAUUCCUUUUCCAUUUAUAUUUUUAUCGUGUGAGAGCUAACUUCUAUAUCUGCGUAUUUGUUAAGAUGCUUCCUACUGUUUACAAAUUUGAAAUUUAUUUUUGUUGUUUCAUUUUUUAGUUUUAGUUUUUACAAGCAAUGAAAAAUGAUAUGUAAUCCACUCAACUAAUGAUGGCAUACUUACAACGAAGACAAAUUUUGGCAAGAAGAUAUGCACAUUAUCAAGCACAGAGGAAAGAGAGCACUAAAAGACACAUAAACAAAAGUGUUUCGUUGUAUUCAAUCGGGUGGCGCAGGACAAUAUAUGAAAAACAGAAAUCUAUCUCAAUUCGUGCACCUGCUUGGCCAAUGGGAAUAUCAAUAAAGAUGAACAGUCAUGAUCUUAGGAAAGUGAUUUUGAAAGAAUGGAACAAGAAGAAAGAAGAGCAUUAUCAGUAUGAAAAUGCACAUCAAGAGUUGAUGUCUCAUUCGAUUUCUUACAUUAGACGAACAAAGAGAAAAGUACAACGAAUUAGGAGAAAAAUGCAGUGUAUGAAUACAUCUUUCCUCGAUAAGCUCUGGUCAUUGAUGUUAUAGUUCUACAUGCAACGGACUGUUCAGAAUUUAAGCAACAAUUGGAGCAAGGCUGUUGCAAUAAAAAAAAUGUCAAAUGUGCUGAUUGAAGAUCGAGUGCAAGAAAACGGAUGGCUAAAGUGGACUUAAUGAAAACGUUUUGGACUUCAUAUGCUUCAAAAACAAAAAGGAACCUGGCAUGGAUACAGUUGGCUGCUGGAGGACAUUUACAACUUAUGUGUAUAGGAAAAAAAGUAAAACAUGUUACAGCAGUAUACUGUUUGUCUUAGUUACUUUAACCUUUCAAAAUUUCAUUAUACCAUCUUUCAUUAGUCUUGCUAGCAUGACCUUGGAUAACUUCAGUGUCUACUACCUAGAUGUUUGUGGUGUUAAAUUGGUUUGUAUAUAGUAGCAUAUUGCAGUU